rnacentral:rRNA from 1 species
GAGCGGGUGUAGCAAUACAUCAGCGGCAGACGGGUGAGUAACGCGUGGGAACGUACCUUUCGGUUCGGAACGACCCCAGGGAAACUUGGGCUAAUACCGGAUACGCCCUUACGGGGAAAGAUUUAUCGCCGAAAGAUCGGCCCGCGUCUGAUUAGCUAGUUGGUGAGGUAAUGGCUCACCAAGGCGACGAUCAGUAGCUGGUCUGAGAGGAUGAUCAGCCACAUUGGGACUGAGACACGGCCCAAACUCCUACGGGAGGCAGCAGUGGGGAAUAUUGGACAAUGGGCGCAAGCCUGAUCCAGCCAUGCCGCGUGAGUGAUGAAGGCCCUAGGGUUGUAAAGCUCUUUUGUGCGGGAAGAUAAUGACGGUACCGCAAGAAUAAGCCCCGGCUAACUUCGUG